AUUCUACUCCCUCUGUUGCACAAUACAUGCCUUCUAUUUGUCAAAAUAUAUAUGUAUCUAGACAUGUUUUAGUAUAUAGGUACAUCAAUUUUCGGACAAAUGGAAGUCAAGUAUUUUGGAACGGAGGGAGUACACA
rfam:Triticum aestivum genome assembly, contig: Triticum_aestivum_CS42_TGACv1_scaffold_392737_5AS